AUCUUCUUUGAGGCUUCCUUCGCACUCUCCCCCUCCUCCGUUUCCUUCGCAUGCCGAUCUCCUUCGCCACUUUUGCAUUUCAUUUCCUCCUUCAUUUUCUGUUUCUCUCUUCCACUCACUCUUUCUCCCGGCCAAAGAAACCCACCGACAGCCCAACGGAAGCCGCUGCCACGAAGUCCACCAACGUGCGUCUCCUUCAGCCUCUUCAAUCCGCAAAGCCACGAUUCAACCACCAAUUGUUUCCCCCUUCAAGUCAACCCAAAACCCCGUUGAAGACUUCCCAUUUUUCUUUUGCUGCCGUGCACCCUUCAAUCCACUUGCGAGCUGCCUCUGCCGUUCUUCCAUACUUUCCUUCGAAGAUUGAAGCUGCCACUUGCCCAUUAAUUCCCCAGCAAAGAUCAACGAAGCAGCCCCUCGAUCGUCUGCCGUUUCUCCGCCCCACACGGCCACGUGGUCUUCUUCCCCAGCAGUUCGUGGCCCAGCUCCAGUCUUCCCCAGACGCAAUUUGUUGACCCCAAAGCCACGCGGCCAUCAACGCCGCACAUCGAUCUCUCCAUCUUCGGCUGCCAGGCGUCCCCAAACCGCUCGAGCAACCCAGCAAUUUGGCCAGCGCUUCCUCGGUCUUCCAUCGCUCGACGCCAGCAAGCGACUCCCAUCGUGCGUGUCUACGGCCCAGCGAAGUUCAGCCACAUCAACAGGCCCAGCAGCCGCGUGAAAUCAGCUGCUCUUCAGCCCAUUCGCUCCAGCAAGUUGGUUCAGCCCAACCUUCACGCAAGUUAGGCCCACAAGAAAUCAGCCCAGCAGAAUUCAGUCUUUGAUAUUCAGCCCACGAAUCAAGUGAAGCGCAGCCCAAGUUGAAAACAAAUCUCAGUUGGGCUGAGAUUUGUUGGACCUGUUUUAGGCCCGACCCAAGUCUGCCGACGCCGCCGUCGCGCCGUCAUCGCGAUGAACCAGUUUCCGCAAUUUACCAAGUCAUCGAGUGGAGAACCUAGAGCAGAGAGGAGGUGAUCUGAAGUAUAGGUCGGAUAGGACCGCUUCUUUUGGAGAACAGUCUUUUGUAGUCUUUUAACCAUAGACUCUUGUACGUGACUCAACAUAUGUUUAUAAAGGCAUAUUUGUUUGUGAAA